rnacentral:rRNA from 1 species
AGUGAACGCUGGCGGUAGGCCUAACACAUGCAAGUCGAACGGCAGCACAGUAAGAGCUUGCUCUUACGGGUGGCGAGUGGCGGACGGGUGAGGAAUACAUCGGAAUCUACUUUUUCGUGGGGGAUAACGUAGGGAAACUUACGCUAAUACCGCAUACGACCUACGGGUGAAAGCAGGGGAUCUUCGGACCUUGCGCGAUUGAAUGAGCCGAUGUCGGAUUAGCUAGUUGGCCGGGUAAAGGCCCACCAAGGCGACGAUCCGUAGCUGGUCUGAGAGGAUGAUCAGCCACACUGGAACGUAGACACGGUCCAGACGCCUACGGGAGGCAGCAGUCGGGAAUAUUGGACAAUGGGCGCAAGCCUUAUCCAGCCAUACCGCGUGGGUGAAGAAGGCCUUCGGGUUGUAAAGCCCUUUUGUGGGGAAAGAAAAGCAGCAGGUUAAUACCCCGCUGUUCUGACGGUACCCAAAGAAUAAGCACCGGCUAACUUCGUG